CUCCCAGACAGCUGAGCAAGGGCCUGCUUCCAAGUGGCAGGCAAGUAUUAAGUGCCCAGCUGAAGGGACUUAGACCUGCGGGUCACUAAUGACAACAGAUAAAUAGAGCUUGCUCCAUUUGUGCAUCUCCAUGUGUCAGUGACAAUGUCCUGGACAACUUCCAGCCAGGGUGGGAGGUAGAAACAUUUCUCAUUCCUGAAAAGUCCCAAGCUGAUAUCAGAGAGCUGCUGAGGAUUCAAACUGAAGAAGAUCCGAGAGGAAAAGAUGAAGACAGGAUGUGCACAAAGAAUAGCAGAGCAGUUGCAGGGAAGUCAUGCUCACCUUCAAGGGGUGACACCGCUCCCUCGGUACCUCCACAGAAUUUACUCUACUCCCUCAAUACUACUCUCACUGCACUGCCAUCACUUUUCAGUGAGCUCAGUAGGGGUAGCAACCAGUUUUAUUCCUCUGUGUGCAUACAUGCAUGGGCC